GACGAACGCUGGCGGCGUGCCUAAUACAUGCAAGUAGAACGCUGAAGGAGGAGCUUGCUUCUCCGGAUGAGUUGCGAACGGGUGAGUAACGCGUAGGUAACCUGCCUGGUAGCGGGGGAUAACUCUUGGAAACGAUAGCUAAUACCGCAUAAGAGUAGAUGUUGCAUGACAUUUGCUUAAAAGGUGCAAUUGCAUCACUACCAGAUGGACCUGCGUUGUAUUAGCUAGUUGGUGAGGUAACGGCUCACCAAGGCGACGAUACAUAGCCGGCCUGAGAGGGUGAUCGGCCACACUGGGACUGAGACACGGCCCAGACUCCUACGGGAGGCAGCAGUAGGGAAUCUUCGGCAAUGGACGGAAGUCUGACCGGGCAACGCCGCGUGAGUGAAGAAGGUUUUCGGAUCGUAAAACUCUGUUGAAAGAGAAGAACGAGUGUGGGAGUGGAAAGUUCACACUGUGACGGUAUCUUACCAGAAAGGGACGGCUAACUACGUG
rnacentral:rRNA from 1 species